rnacentral:rRNA from 1 species
GUGGGCAAUCUGCCCUUCACUCUGGGACAAGCCCUGGAAACGGGGUCUAAUACCGGAUACACUCUGUCCCGCAUGGGACGGGGUUGAAAGCUCCGGCGGUGAAGGAUGAGCCCGCGGCCUAUCAGCUUGUUGGUGGGGUGAUGGCCUACCAAGGCGACGACGGGUAGCCGGCCUGAGAGGGCGACCGGCCACACUGGGACUGAGACACGGCCCAGACUCCUACGGGAGGCAGCAGUGGGGAAUAUUGCACAAUGGGCGAAAGCCUGAUGCAGCGACGCCGCGUGAGGGAUGACGGCCUUCGGGUUGUAAACCUCUUUCAGCAGGGAAGAAGCGAAAGUGACGGUACCUGCAGAAGAAGCGCCGGCUAACUACGUGCCAGCAGCCGCGGUAAUACGUAGGGCGCAAGCGUUGUCCGGAAUUAUUGGGCGUAAAGAGCUCGUAGGCGGCUUGUUGCGUCGGUUGUGAAAGCCCGGGGCUUAACCCCGGGUCUGCAGUCGAUACGGGCAGGCUAGAGUGUGGUAGGGGAGAUCGGAAUUCCUGGUGUAGCGGUGAAAUGCGCAGAUAUCAGGAGGAACACCGGUGGCGAAGGCGGAUCUCUGGGCCAUUACUGACGCUGAGGAGCGAAAGCGUGGGGAGCGAACAGGAUUAGAUACCCUGGUAGUCCACGCCGUAAACGUUGGGAACUAGGUGUUGGCGACAUUCCACGUCGUCGGUGCCGCAGCUAACGCAUUAAGUUCCCCGCCUGGGGAGUACGGCCGCA